CCAGCAUACGCGGUAAUUUCGGCUCCAAUAGCGUCUAUUAAAGUUGUUGUAGUUAAAACGCUCAUAGUCGGGUGUGGAGUGUGUGGGGGUGUGGGUGUCGUGAGACAAACCAGCUUACACGCAUGUUCUGACAGCAAUGUCGGGGUUACUUUGAGGAAAUUAGGGUGUUCAAGGCAGGCGUGUGCUUGGAUAUCGCAGCAUGGAAUAACGGAGUAGGAUUCGCUUCUUAUUUUGUUGGUUUGGGGGAGUGAGUAAUGAUUAAUAGGGGCAGUUGGGGGCAUUGGUAUUUGGUAGUCAGAGGUGAAAUUCUUGGAUUUACCAAAGACUAACUGGUGCGAAAGCGUUUGCCAAGGAUGUUUUCAUUGAUCAAGAACGAAAGU
rnacentral:rRNA from 1 species